GAAGAGAUUUUCUCCAAAAUAUGGAAAUAAUAGUUUUAAAGACUACUUAGAACACGAAACUGUCUUUUCAUAAGGUUGCUCUCAUUAAUACUACUUGUUAAAAAUAGUUCAAUAAUAAAACUCAACCAAGUAUGAUGAUUGACUUACCGCCCCAGCCUGAAGAAUGUGAUGACGGUUCUCGCUGAAAGAAGUUGCUUACAUAAAAUAAUAAUGAAAAAGGUAAAUAUUUAUACAGGUUUUCUUCUUUUACAGAGGGACCCUACAGAUCUGGAGUUGUGUGAAAUCUGAAAAUUGACUAAGAAUACCACUUACUUAAGAUGAACCCACGUGAUCUGAAGGAGAGCAUAUUGAACAUGAAAAUCAGCAGGAGAUACGAUGAGAUGGAACCUGAAGACUGCCUGGACACAACACUUGGGCAUUUUGAAAUGUACAGGCUUGAUGCCUCAGGCUGUUACCCUGCUGAGGCAGCUGCUUGCUACUACAUACACAAUCACCUGGCAAGCUGAUCAUGCAAAAGGCCAUCACAUUGUUGCGUUGUCGAUCAUCAAUAGGUUAAAGGAAGGAUUUGUGAAACCUAAAAAUUGACAGUGGAUAUCACUUCAGGAUUAAAACCUGCAUGAAUUAGUCCAUCAAUAGUGAAGAGUAUACUGAAGGAGACUUCAGAGUGUGAUGGCAAAUAUCACUUAGAUUCAAACCUACAAGUGACCUAUGGUGCAACAACUGUGGACAUGAAUAGAUCAGAGUAUAAGUAUACUAAAGGAGACUUCAGAAUGUGACAGCCAAUAUCACUUAAUGCCAUGAUGAAACAGCCCAAUGAUCAUCAUCUUUGUCAUCUCACCAGAUGAUUUGUUGCUGCCUCAGCAAUGUUAGGCUUCCACGUUUUGAAAUGUCUGGCCACAAAAGAUUGAAAACUACAAGUUCGUAAUGCAACAACAGAGGACACGGAAUAAGUGGAGGUUAACCCAAUGGGAUGUAAUAACAGAACUGGCAGUCAAACCGGGAGUUCUACAAUGCUGGCGGCAUUGGUAAAGAUUUAGGGUCCUCUGGUCAGCACAGCCUACCCUAAAUGGCAUUUUCUCAUAAAUCGGUCGCAAAACAAGGGUUUAAGCUGUCUCUGGAACCCUGUAGCUCUGAAGCUAGUGCCAUUACAGCCAUGAUACUUCAUUACUGUGUAUGCACUUCAACUGAGGGCAGAUGCCAGUGCCAUGUCACAUGUGCAUUGACACCCGGCAUUCCACAUUUUUUCACCAUGUCGCAUAUACGUGACAUCCAUCAUCAAAGGGUUACAACCAACAAGUGUGAUGUAGUCCAGCAACAAUGGACAUGUCUUUGAUUGAAAACUAAGUGUUACGUAAUGCAACAACAGUGGACACGGAAUAAGUGGAGCAGGUUAACCCAGGGUUAGCAAGCGGGCAGCCCAGGCUCGCAGCUUGUGCGCCUAAGAGUCUCGAGGCGUUAGGCUUUUGCGUUUGAAAACCCUGGCAUUACGACCAUGCAAAGCCAGAAUCACCCCGGCGUGAGUGGGUUAAAACCAGCAAGUGUGAUGUACAACAACAGUGGGCUUCUAUAGGUUGAAAACUACAAGUGUUACGUAAUGCAACAACAGUGGACACGGAAUAAGUGGAGGUUAACCCAGUGGCAACGGUGUCCAUAACUUAACGACACCUCUCAUUGCGUAUUUUUAGUCACCCAAAGGGUUAAAACCUACACGUGUGAUGUAGUCCAGCAACAGUGGAUGCGUCAUUGAUUAAAACCAGCAAGUGUGAUGGAGUACAACAACAGUGGGCUUUCAUAGCAGGUUAACCCAAUGGCAAUGGUGCAGAUAACGACUGAACUGGCAGUCAAACCAAGCGUUCUAUGAUGCUGGCGGAAUUGGCUAAAAAAUAGAGGGAUGGGGAAAUUAUUUUCUCUGCCUUCUGAGCAGCACCGCCUACCUUAAAGGAUGUUUUCUCAUAAAUCAGUCAUGAAAGAAGGGUUUAAAGCUGUCUCUGGAACCCUGUUGCUCUGAACCUAGUGCCAUUACAGCCAUAAUACUUCAUUAAUGUGUAUGCGCUUCAACUGUGAGCAGAUGCUUAUGCCACAUAACAAAAGCAUUGAAACCUGGCGUUGCGCAUUUUUAGUGGCCCAAAGAGUUGAAACCUACAAGUAUAAUGUAGUUCAGCAACAUUGGACGUGUCAUUGAUUGAAAACUACAAGUGUUACAUAGUGCUACAACAGUGAACUCGGAAUAAGUGGAGAUUAAAACCUACAAGUGUGGUUCAAUAGUGGUGAAUUUCCAUAGAUGGAACCUGAAGACCAUUAACUCGUUGGCAAUGAAUCAUUUGGAUGAGUACCAUGGUGAGAGUGACCCCAAAAUAUUGGAACAUUUUGCCAUGCUAAUGGAUGCUGUUACUGGAGUUGUAGGUGACACUGAAAUGAACUCUACAUACUUCUCCGUGUCAACGGUUCAGAAUAAAAAAUUGACUGGAUAUUACCAAAGAUAAAACCUACAAAUGUGAUUUGCUGCUGCAACAACAAUGGACUGGCAAAGGGAAAGAUAAUUGGGAGUAUUAGCACAAGAAAGCAUGGUAUGGGAGUUCCAAUUUCUCUCAAGGUCGUGUUUUCUGAAUGUUGGACUGGACCUCUGAGAUUGAAUCAAGACAGGAAGGUGGAUUUUGUCUGAGACUUGCCAUAAAAUGUCUUAAGUAGGGCACUCUAGAUUAGAAGGAAUUUGUGUCAAAAAGGUUGUAUCUUUGUUUAAUGAUGACGAAAUCUACAUUGGCAAUGUUAAUUAAUAAAAUGAACCUCUGAAA
rnacentral:lncRNA from 1 species